rnacentral:lncRNA from 10 species
AGUGGCCACAGAAUCCUGCAGAUGGGGGGAUUUGAGUGAUGGUACUCAAAAGGCUCACCUGCUCAAAAUCAUAUUCCAUCUCCAGGUGCUCUGGUACCUGGAAUUCUACCCUGAGGAAAACCUUCCAAAGGGUCAAGGCAUUAUAUUUCCCAGAUUCAUUUUCAGAAACUCAGUGCUUCAUGGAAAUAAUGAUGGAUUACACCCUUGACACUGUAAUGGGGUUGAGUUUAUUUCACACUUUUUGGUCCCAUGGGGCAAUAUCACAUUGUUGGUGACUUGAGUGAUACGGCGUGGAGAAGGGGACAUGACCUGCAGGAAGUGCCUUCAUGUGUCACUGCAAAUCCUGAGGUGGGACGAGAAGAAACACUGACCAACCCUCCAUGGAGCUUUGUCUGGCCUCACUCGCAUAGUCAAACUGGGUUAUGCAUUUUGGGGAAGAGUGUC